AUUUUGUCACUUCUCUCAUCUCCUCGCAAUCUCUCUCGAUCCCCUUCUCUCUUGUUCUUCUCUCCUCUCUAUCUUAUACGAAAACCCUAUUUCCAUUCUAUACUUUUUGCUUCUUCAUCCAUAAAUCGAAGCCCCAACCCUCGUCUCUUCUCUCUUCUCGUCGUCUUUCUCCCUCUCAGCCAUCAGGCAUCACGAAGACCUCCCUGGUUGUCGCCGCAUGAUAUCCUCGCUUCUCGAAGGUUCCAGUUACGUGGCUAGUCCUCUCAGACGAACUCCGAGGCUCAGCGGUUCGAAUACUCGAAACCCACAGCAAACGCCGAAAGACGAAAGUUUCUCAGCGAGGGCAUCCAUUUGGCGUGCGAUCUCCGGGUGAAGGACGGCUUCGAAGACCACUCUCCCAGUGUUCGAAAACAACAGAUUAGUUUUUUGUGAUAUGUUCCAGGUGGCGGCCCAAGAGUGGAGGGCUUGGCAUCUUUUUUGUUUUUUGGUUUUCUGUAUUUUGUAUUUUGUAUUUGUUUUUAUUUCUCUGUAUUUUGUAUGCUGAUGUACCCCACCCCCUUGUACUGUAACCUUUUUAUUUCUUUACAUGCCUGUUGUGAUGCAUGUCCUUUUUUUUUUGACUUUGGAAGUUGACCACUUUUGAACA